UUUUUUUUUUUUUCCUUUUAAAAAUCCAAUUUUCCCUGCCCAGGGGAUUGAGAAUUCAAAUUUUACCUGUUUUUUUUUAUGCUGCUGGAAUUGAGGAAUUCCAAUUUUCCCAGCCUUUUAUCCCUCUGGGACUGAGAAUUCCCAAUUUUUCCUGCCCAUUUCCCCAUUUGGUUUGAGAAAUUGAUUUUUCCUGUUUUUUGGGGGUUUUUUUUAUUUUUUUUUUUUUUAUCCUGCUGGGAUUGAGAAAUUCCAGCUCUCCCCGUGGACCCCCAGGUAAAAUUCCUGAUUUUUUUUUUUUUUUUAACCUGGGAUGGAUUUUUUUCCCCAAAUUCCCAAAAUUCCAAAUAUCAGGGAAUGGAUGGGGAGGGGUGGGAAGGAGAAUUUCAGAGUGAGGGAAUUCCUGGAAUUCUCUGUGGAAUGUCCCCAGGACUGGGAAUGUCCUUGGUUUUGGGAUUGUCCCUGAUCCUGGGAUUAUUCUUAAUCCUGGGAUUGUCCCUGAUCCCAGGAAUGUCCCAAAUCCUGGGAUUGUCCCCAGGCUGGAACAUUCUCAAUCCCAGGAUUGUCCUCAGACCUGGAAUUGUCCCCAGCUCUGGGAUGGCAGCACCAGGAUUGUCCUGAAUUCCAGGAUUGGUUUUGGGAUGGUCCCUGAUCCUGGGAUUGUUCUUAAUUUUGGGAUUGUCCUCAAUCCCAUGAUUGUUCCCAGACUGGGAUUGUCUCUGAUCCUGGGAUGUCCCUUAAUUCCAGGAUUGUCCCCAGGAUGGAGUGGCCUCAAUCCUGGGAUGUCCUUGGUUCCUGGGAUUGUCCCCAGGACCAGGAUUUGUUCCCAGGACUGGAAUUGUCCCCAGGGUGGAAUAUUCUCAAUUCUGGGAUUGUCCCAAAUCUGGGAUUGUCCUUCAUCCUGAGAUUUGUCCCCAGGAUGGAAUGUCCUCCAUCCUGGGAUGUCCUUGGGUCCUGGGAUUGUCCCCAGGACCAGGAUUUGUCCCCAAAUCUGGGAUUGCAGGUUUGGGAUUUGUCCCCAGGACUGGGAUUGUCCCCAGGUCUGGGGUUCCAGGACAGGGAUUGUCCCUGAUCCUGGGAUUGUUCUUAAUUCCAGGAUUGUCCCUGAUCCUGGAAUGUCCCUUAAUUCCAGGAUUGUCCCCAGGAUGGAGUGGCCUCAAUCCUGGGAUGUCCUUGGUUCCUGGGAUUGUCCCCAGGAGCAGGAUUUGUCCCCAGCUCUGGGAUGGCAGGACUGGGAUUGUCCCCAGGAUGGAACGUUCUCAAUCCCAGGAUUGUCCCAGGAAUGGGAUGGCAGGGCUGGGAGUGUCCCUGAUCCCAGAAUGUCCCUUAAUUCCAGGAUUGUCCCCAGGAUGGAACGUUCUCUGUCCCAGGAUUGUCCCCAAGCCUGGAAUUGUCCCCAGAUCUGGGAUUUCAGGACUAGGGUUGUCCCUGAUCCUGGGAUUGUUCUUAAUUCCAGGAUUGUCCCCAACCCCAGAACUGUCCCCAACCCCAGAACUGUCCCCAACCUCGGAACUGUCCCCAACCCCAGAACUGUCCCCAGCCAUCCUGUGGUGGCCACAGGGCACCCUGUGCACCUGGCCAUUGGUGCAACUGCAUUUCCCUAUCUCCAGGGUGAAGAACAGCAUCAGUGCAGUGGAGAAAUGAAAAUGUUUUGGAUCUAGCAAUGCUGCCCAUCUUUGUGCAGGCUGAGCAUUCCCCACCCAUAAUUCUUCCUGUCUGCCCCGAAACCUCCAGACUUCCAUUCCUGCUUAGCCUCUUUCUGAAGCUGACAUUCUCCCUUCCUGGCUGGGCAGAUGCACGCUUACCCUGCAGUUAUUCCGGGAGGUAAAGCUGAAUUCUGGUCACCUGCAUUUCAUUACAACUGAG
rnacentral:lncRNA from 12 species